CUUGUUCUAAUUCGGCUGCUGGGAGAGAGAAAAGUCCCCAUUGGUCAAGCUGGGACGGGCAGAGCAAGGGAUGGGCUUUGCAUGCGGGGCAGUUAGACAAAGGAGGGAAAGGAAAGUAGGUAAGCGGUUGGGGGGCUUAAGUGGGGGGAAGGGGAAGAAAAUGGAGAGGAAAAGGUGGGAAUGGCUGCAUGCGAGGCCAGAAAAGAGUGGGAAAGGGGUUAGAAGAGAGGGGCAGGCGGGUAGUUUGCCUUCCCUGAAAUGGGCUAUUAUUAUUAUUAUUAUUAUUAUUAUUAUUAAUUCUUAUAUACCUUCAUUCAUUCCCCACUCCUCUGGCUGGGUUUCCCAUGCAACUUUAUUCUUCUUAUCAUAAGUUGAACUUGUUAAGUCGCUUUUAUCUUGCAAUCCAGAGUGACUCGCAAAACCUGGAGUGCAAAAUCUGGAGCCAGGGCAUUUUGGAGAGAAAAAGAGGAUAUGGCUGCAUGUGGAGCCAGAAAAGAGGGAGAGGGUUUAGAAGAGAAUGGGAUGAUGAUAAUAAUAAUAAUAAUAAUAACAACAACAACUUUUAUUUAUUUAUACCCCACCCAUAAUAAUAAUAAUAAUAAUAAUAAUAAUAAUAAUAAUAAUUGUAUUUAUACCCUGCCCCUCUUGCAACAACAACGAUAACAACUUUUAUUUAUUUAUACCCCACCCAUAAUAAUAAUAAUAAUAAUUGUAUUUAUACCCUGCCCCUCUUGCAACAACAACAAUAACAACUUUUAUUUAUUUAUACCCCACCCAUAAUAAUAAUAAUAAUAAUAAUUGUAUUUAUACCCUGCCCCUCUUGCUGGAUUUCCCAUGUAACUUUAUUCUUCUUACCAUUUGUUAAACUUGUUAAGUCGCUUUUUAUCUUGCAAUCCAGAGAGUGACUCACAAAACCGGGUGCAGAAAACCUGCCUUGCGUGGGGUUGGUCUAGAUGACCCCCGGGGGUCCCCUUCCCAUGACUGCAAUCCCGCGACCCCCUAUGGGGGUGGGGAAAGUGUGGUUUUCUGCUUGGUUCUGUGCAAUUAACUCCAAACGGUAAUUUCUUGUGAGCCGCCCUGUGAUUUUAGGAUGAAGGGUGGUAUAUAUAUAAAUCCAAGAAACAAAAAAUGAUGUCAAACCAUUGUUUUGUCCCAUAAACCAGCCAAGGUAGGGGCAAAAGCUGUGUUUUGCAGUGUUGCUCUUGCCAAACCGCAGUUUGCCUUCCAAGUUAAAUUGUUAUUUACCGUAUUUUUCGCUCUAUAAGACGCACCAGACCACAAGACGCACCUAGUUUUUGGAGGAGGAAAACAAGAAAAAAAAAUAUAUUCUGAAUCUCAGAAGCCAGAACAGAAAAGAGGGAUCGCUGUGCAGUGAAAUCAGCAAUCCCUCUUGCUGUUCUGGCUUCUGGGAUAGCUGCGCAGCCUGCAUUCGCUCCAUAAGAUGCACACACAUUUCCCCUUACUUUUUUAGGAGGGAAAAAGGGAGUCUUUAUAGAGCAAAAAAUACGGUAUUUGAUUCGUACACCGCCUUUCAAACCUGAGAUCACAAGGCGGAUCUCAACAUAAACAAAAAACAGAAACGGGAAAUGCAUUGAAGAAGGACAACAAACCAAUAAUCUAACCCCAUGCCCUCUUCUCCCAGUCGGUUGCCUUUUAAAAUUUAAAAAAUAAAAUGGCAGUUGCAUCUCCCUCCCCGGCAGCCGUUUUGGGACAGAACAGCACAAAAUGGAUGCAAUGAAGCCGUUGUUCCUGCCAGCCCAAAAUCCCCAGUAGUGACAAUGGUCACCAUGCAGGGGGGAUAAAAAUCAAUGAUUAUUAUUUUUUUAAAGGGGAAAAAAAUUCAGAUUUUUUUUUAUUUAAAUCAGAUUUUUUUUUUAUUUAUUUAAAUUGGAUUUUUAAAAUAAAAUUCUUUUGGAGGAAAAAUCUUUCCAAAGAUAGUUUUCUAUUUAAGUCACAUUAUAGUCCAAAGGCUAUAAUGAAAAGAAGGGUUUAAGUUUUUCAUGGGUGCUAAAACUCAGUCUGAGGGGUGUUUUUUUAAAAAAAAAAAAAAAUUAACCACAUCAGUUAACAAACGUGGAUACAUAUGCUGUGAUGUUAUUGUUUUAAUUAAAUAAAUUGUUCUCAAGGAAAGGAUUAUUUUCCCCCUUCUGAUAAAGUGCCGCAGAAAAGUUGUCCAAAUAUAAACAGUUAACUUAUUAAACCUCACGAUAAUUUCAUAAUUAUGUCUAUGUAUUUCUAAUAGUAUAACCAAAUCAGUAUUUAAAAAAAAUAUAACUGUAAAAACUACUCUGAAAGUUUAGUAUUCCAAUAAUGAAACGAUCAUCUGGUUGUAAAUAUUAAGAUUAUACCAGCAAGAAUGAGUCUUUAUGUAAAAGAAUGAUUUAAAUCAAGUCUUACUGACUAGUGAUUUAAAUCGAUUUGAUUUAAAUCAAAUCUACCCUGUGGCCCACAAUACUUUCUCAAAUGGGACCACGAACCCCACAAUUAUUAUUAUUGGGGCUCUUUGCAGUUGCCAUAUGAGUUUGUUCAUUUGUUCAGCCUUUAUGGGCAUAAUUUAAGACCAAAAAAAAAUGCAAAAGGGACAGAAAACAAGCGAACCAUCCAUAAAACAUUCACAAUCCAGACAUAUUAAACACAUAAAAUAUAAAAGAAUUUGUCAGCAGAAUAGGGAGGACACUCGGGAGAGCAGGCCAUUUUAAAAAGGGAGUCACAGGAAAAUUUAUUAGAUAUUAGAUAUUAGAUAUAUAACUCCUAAAAUCUCAGGAUAAAAACAGAAAGACUCAUUCUUGCUGGUAUAAUCUUAAUAUUUACAACCAGAUGAAGGUUUCAUUCCCCAGAGUGGCUGGGGAAACCCAGCCAGAUGGGUGGGGUAUAAAUAACAUUAUUAUUAUUAUUAUUAUUAUUAUUAUUAUUGAAUAAUAAAUUUUCAGAAUAGUUUUUACAGUUAUAUCAAAAAAAUACUGAUUUGGUUAUACUGUUAGAAAAACAAAGACAGGUAAUUAGGAAAUUAUUGUUUAUAUUUGGACAACUUUUCUGCUUUACUUUAUUGGAAGGAGAACAAUAAUCAUUUCCUUGAGAACAAUUUAAACAAUUUAUUUAACUAAAGCAAUAACAUUAUAGCAUAUGCAUCCAUGUUUGUUAACUGAUGUGGUUAAACGUUUUGUUUUUUUAAAAAAACAACGUAGACGUGAGUUUUAGCACACAUGAAAAACUUAAAACAAAUCCUUAUUUCCUGAUGAAUAGCCUUUGGACUGUAAUGUAACUUAAAUAGAAAACUAUCUUUAGAAAGACUUUUCCUCAAAAAGCGUUUUAUUUUAAAAAUAUGAUUUAAAUUAAAAAAAUAUGUUUGUUUGUUUUUUUAAAUCAUUGGUUUUUAUCCACCCUGAUGGUAAACUUUACAUUGCGGAGAACACUUUCUUCUCCCUGAUACCUAGUUUUCUGUGUACAGGGAUAUUAUUGAUAAUAAUUAAUGGGGAAAGGGAAAUAAGUCAUGUCGACCCAAACCAGACACACUUUGUUUUAAAGUUUAAAAAUAACAUGAUUUUUACUUGCUGUACUUGGCUCUGGUCUGACUGAAUGCACAAGAGAGGCAUGCAAUAUUUACAUUACUGAAACAUAUUUACAUGAAGUUGUAUCCGAGACCGACUAAUAUUUACAGGCUGGCUCUGCGGCAGCAACACUUGCUGCUCUCACAGUUAAAACUCACUUCGAAUGUAAAAGACUUUAGCCUGAAAAAAGGAGACAUUUUUGUAAACCAAGAAAACUUUUAAUAAAAAUGAUUAUUAUUACUUUUUAAAAAACAAAAAACCUCACACAACAGUUGAAUGUAAAAGAGUCUGCAGCCUGAAAAAAAGAGACAACGCCUGUGCUUUUGUAAACCAAAAUAAUAUUUAAUAAAAAAUACUGUUAUUAUUACUACUUUAAAAAAAACAACAACCUCACAACAGUUGAAUGUACAAGACUGCAGCCUGGAAAAAAAGAGACAACACAUGUACUCUUGUAAACUAAGAUAAUCUUUAAUAAUAAUAAAAAAUACUGUUGUUAUUAUUAUUACUUAAUUUUUUGAAAGAAACCUCACAGCAGUUGAAUGUAAAAGACUGCAGCCUAACAAAAAAAGAGACAAUGCAUGUGCUUUUGUAAACCAUGAAAAUCUUUAAUAAAAAAUACUGUUAAUAUUAUUUUUUUAAAAAACCCCUCACACAACAGUUGAAUGUAAAAGAAGAGUGCAGCCUGAAAAAAGAGACAACGCCUGUACUUUUGUAAACCAAGAAAAUCUUUAAUAAAAAAAUAAUUAUUUAUAAAAACCCUCACACAACAGUCGAUAACAACUAACGAAAAAAACCUGACUCAGUUUAUGUCCCCCCAACAUUUUAUGCUACAGCAUUAACCCUUUCCGUAGUAUUUUGAAUGCACCAUUGUCACAGAUUUUGCCACCGCCAGGCAUUUGUUGGUCAUGGGCAGUGAAGCGCAUUGAUUGAAUUCUCUUAGGGCAUAUCUAGCAAAUACUUUAGAAAAUAUUCUGAGCUUCCCAAAGAAUAUUGGAAUAUUUGAGAUAAGGCUACAUUUUAAUAUUUUAAUGUUGUAUUUUAAUUUUGUUUUUAAGUUGUAAUCAUUCAACUUGUUUUUAUUAUUGCUUGUUAGCCGCCCUGAGCCUGGCCUUGGCUGGGUAGGGCAGGGUAUAAAUAUAAAUUAUUAUUAUUAUUAAAGAGUCUCUCGUUGACUUCCGCUUCCUGGUCUCUACUUUCCCCAAUAUUUUAAUCUAUCCGUCUCCGUCCCAUGGAUGCAAAGCAGUCCGUUUUAUCCCGAUGCGCUUCGUCGGCUGUCGCACCCAUUGAUUUGCGGGAAAUUUGGCCGCGACCUUGACUUUCUGCGUAACGCAAGACAAUAAUCUGAUGUGACAAUUAUUGGCAAGUCUUCGAAAGGCUCUUAAGACAAGAAAUGUGCUUGGCUCCCAUUGCCACCCCCUUGUAAUAUUACUUAGCAGAAUCAACCAGUGGCAUUUAAAUUACGAGCUAUGUGUUAAGGUUAAAUAAACGGAUGGGCAAGCGAUCGUUUUAAAAUGAAAGGUGCUGAUUUUCGGGAGACGAGCCAUCUGUGAAACAUUCAGGUGGGAAAUACUUCUUUGUGGCUUACUGACCUUAUAGCACUAAGCAAGGGAAGGAGAAGGAAACUUGCUUAAUAUAGAAAAGGUGCACGACAGAAGCAAUUGUCCUAAUGUGCAUCUGAUAUAGGAGGAAAUUAGCAGCUGGCCAGAGGUUAGUCAAUCAAGUGUACAUUCAAAGGACUGUCAACCAAGCAGCAGUGUCAGGUGGGAGAUUUUAGUCAAUGAAAGGUUGAGCCAUCUAUAGAGCACCCAAAGGGUGGAAACGAAGUUCUGUAAAUUAGACUUGUCUCUCAAAAGUGGCAAUCAAAAGCUAGACUUCAACUCCCUUCCUUAAAAAUGUUUCAGGACUGAAGCAAAUCCGCGUUUGAUGUAUCUUUUAUCAUUUCUAUGAUUUAUUUAUAUAUUGGAUUAUUCCGAGAAGGACUGAAAGGAUUUGAUCUCUCCUGUUGGCAGGAAAAUGAAUUAAUAAAUUAUAGCCCACUUAACUGGAAAUCAUCUGUCUCCUGUCCAAUUUCCAACGGAAUUAGCCUCCCUGCUUUGACUACUCAAAGUUUUUCUCUCAUAUGUGUGUGUGACGUUACUGGUGUUCUGGAAGAACUUUCCUUUUUACUGACCAAAAGGAACCUAGCCAAUUAGAUAGCUUCUAUGUGCUAGAUUUUUUUUUAAUGCAAAUUUAAUUAAGUUUUUAAAUGUUUAAACUUAAUUGAUCACCAAGUGAUCAGCGUCACACCAUUGGCCCUAUUGAUGUUUUGAGUUUUUAACAGUGUAAUCUAAUGUAAGCCUCAUUGGGCUUACUUCCAGGUAGGUUUGUAUAAAAGUUGGUAUGUCACCAGCAUACCUCCAUUUGACUUAAAAUGAAUUACUACAAGGCAAUAUUGAAUGGCCGUGGUUGGGCAAAACAUCCUUAUCAGGGAUAGCUUACGUGGCGUCCGCCAGAUGCUACGGUUUCCAUCGUCUUGCCCAAUUCUGACUGGAGCUAAUGGGAAUUUUUAGUCCCAAUAAAAACUGGAGGAAGACACCACAUCUACCUCUGAAAGCUAUUAUGUAUUUUAUUAUAUUUUUUAAUUAGACACUGCUGGAAUCCACUGGCUGAAACAUGAUGAUAUGUCCUCCAUUGUGACAACUCCUACUGCUGGUUUUACCGCCAGGAAAAUGUGGUAAGAGCAACUCUUUCAGGUGAGCAAAGGGAGAGGGGACGGGUUAUUGUGCAACAGGAAAUUGUUGGAUUAUUUAGAAUGUGCACGUACAUCAUUAUAUUUAGCUUACACAUCAGGAAAGAGUUGAACAGUUUUGAGUGCUCCGACAUUUUUUAUUUUAGAUUACAGAUUUUACAGUAAAUAAUUAGUUUUUAAUACCUGUAGCUCUGUGUUCUGUCCCUGUCCAAUCUGGAAAUGAGGUAGCCAAUGUUUAUAAGUUUGCCAAUUAGAGGAAAUCUUGAGACAGGAAAGUUUGACACUCAUGCCAGGAAUGAGGUGUAUUCUUAAUUCAAUUGGCCUUGAAUUAUGAGUAGACUUACUUCUGAAUAGACAUGUUUGGAAUUGAAUCCUGCGUUGGUAAGACUCUUCAGUGCAACUGAACUGGGCCUCUUGAUGGGCCACUAAAUACUUUAUUUACUUUGAAAAGACUCCCCUUGUAUCACAUAAACACAGCACAACAAGACAACGACCUAUCCCCCAAACAGCAUACAAAUCAAUAUGGCUAAUCUGACGCAACAACCUGCCCCUGCCACCCUGCUGCCCCUCACACACGCACACAAAUCACAAUGCAACCAACCGAACACAACCAGCUAUGGUCUGGACUCUCCAGUCUCUCGCAGAGCUAAUAAAAGUGAAUAAACGAACUGUGGAAAAGACUAUGAACUAAAAGAGGAGUCACUGUAUGUACUUUUCCUUGUUUAUUUGUUUUGUAACAAGAAAAUCUUUAAUAAAAAACUUUUUUUAAAAAAAAGAAAGAAAAGACUAUUCAAAAAACAAACACCAUGCAAAGCAGCAGGGAACACUUCAGAGUGAAAUCACACAGUCAACACAACACAACACAAUACUUAACAGCCUGUUGUAUUUGUAUCUAGACUUCAGCAGAGGGGAGCCAAUUCUGCUUCCGCGAAUGCAUGAUGGCCCCAGACAUUGCUAACUUCACACCCCCAUGUGUUUGUAACGAUUUUGAACCCUAGGGGACCAUUCCUCCCCAAUCAGGGAUGGAACUAAUCUGUUAUUUCGAAAUAAUCUAUUUUUCAAAAGAUUGCUCUCAAGGCCGGUUUAAAUACAUGAAGCGAAACGGCUUCUCUUGAAGGCUCUUUUGACAGGACGCCUUCAGUCGGUCCAGCUCCUUGCUGCCCUCUCCACAAGAUGCUCAUGGCAGCAAUUUCAGUUGUCAUCUGCCCCAUAUUCAGUGAAGCAAUAUAGUGUGUGAAGACAACCCAGUCCAAUUUAUCUUCUGCCCAUUCUGUCCUAGGUUUAAAAUCUCUUUUUUGACCUGUUGUCGCAACCCUAAAGUCCAUCCCCUCAUCUACCAGGAGGAGGAGGCACAGAUCCGGGUGCCUCCAGAACAAAGGGGCGGAUGGUAUCUGCUCUGUUUCAUCACGUGACAAAUGACCGGCACCGAUGGGAAAUUGUUGCGGUGACAGAGAAUCGGGGUCUUUGGGAAAGAAGCAGGCAGGUCGCCGAUUCAAGAAGACUUGAGUAGCGUCCCUUUUGAAGAAGAAAAAUCAUCUUGUCUCUUCUCUCUGAUUCAUUUAGCCACUUGAUUCUGCCAUUAAUUUCUCAGUCAAGAAGCCUAACCAGCAAAGGCAUCGUGUCAUUACCACCUUCCUUGCUGCUACUGAAGUGAAAACGUAGCGCCGAGUCAGAUUGGUGCUUUAGUUAGAGCAGGGCCCACCAGUUUAGCACCGAUGGGUGUGCAUGUAUUUGCAGAGACUUUCCACUGAAAUUAGGCUUGAAACAAGCGUUUCUGGGUAGCAAAUAGAAUAGGUUGCGGUGUGUGGACAUCCUUGCUUUAUGAUGUAGUGCCCACAUCUAUAAAAAGAAAACUAUUGUAACCACUAGUUUGUGACAUUUUGGUUGAUCCUAAUAAAGGUAUUUAUAAACUUA